rnacentral:rRNA from 1 species
GACAGAGGGUGCAAACGUUGCUCGGAAUUACUGGGCGUAAAGCGCGUGUAGGUGGAUUGGUGUGUCAGAUGUGAAAUCCCUGGGCUCAACCCAGGAACUGCACCUGAAACUACCAGUCUUGAGUGGUGGAGAGGGAAGUGGAAUUCCUGGUGUAGAGGUGAAAUUCGUAGAUAUCGGGAGGAACACCAGAGGCGAAGGCGGCCACCUGGACAGACACUGACGCUGAGACGCGAAAGCGUGGGGAGCAAACAGG